AUGGACGUAAUUUGUUAUUGUAAGGGCCUUGCGUUGUUGCAGUUUCAGUUAGCUUCUCUUGAGCUAGUUUGGCUCUAUAAAGCUAGACUAGCUGCAUUUGGUCCUCGCCCUUUUAUGUUUGUUUGUUGGUCUUUUAUGUUUGUAAACUUUAUGUCGGUUUCUAUAAUGGAAAAUGACAACGAGGCUCGCUGUUUAAAAAAAGAAGAUGAAGAAGGCAUGAGAACACCUCAUCCCAAAGCAUAUGUCGAUGAAGAAGAAGAACACGUCGCUCGUCAGCCAAAGCUUCAUACUCCAUCUCUACAGAAAGUGGUCAUGCAUCAACUCCAGAUGUCUCCUAUUCCCGCUUGCACUAUCAUUUCUCUCCAUUCUACCAUUGCCUCCACCUAUUUGACCAACCAGGCUAGAGCUAAAAUGAAAUAG
rnacentral:rRNA from 1 species